CGGGCAUUCAACACUAAAAGUCAGACCUUGAAUAAUUAUCUACCCACAAGCUUUCAGCACCAGGAACGGAGAGGUUGCCUCAGUCUCUGUGAGUGUGGGGGACAGUUCUCUGGUGCUCUGACUGCCUGUGACAAGUUUUUGUCAUCUGCACUGUGAAGAAAGGGACAAAGACAGAGCUCAGCUUUGAUGGGUCCAAGGCGAGGUAGGGGUGUCUCAGCCCCAGGUGUUGGUGAUGUCUGUGGUCAGUGGAUGUAGGAAGAUUAAAAGACAUGGACCAUCAACGAAUCCUGGCUGCACUGCAUAGGGAUGAAGGCCACCAAGAGAAGGAUGACAUUGAAGACAUUCCUCUGAGACCAAGCAGCCCCUGACACAGAGGGAAGACCCUGAAGAUCUUGGAGACUAUCGUAGCCAACAAGGCAUUGUAACAAUGACUUUCGUGUGCAUAUGGCCUCUGACUUGCUAGGCAUCUGGGUGCCUAAGGGCAGACCCCAGAUCAAUUCUUGUCCUUCAGCAUUUGAAUGAGGUGAAACACGAGUAUUAUUUAUAAGAAGCCAAUAUCAGCACCAGUGAGAAGGCUUGUAUUUCCACAUAAGUGAUUCUCUAAGCCUCGGAUAGUUCCCUAACUUUUGGCGGUACCCGACAACAACGGACAAGCCAGAAGCGCUUCCCCGAGUGGGUGUGUUUGCCUAUUUUCUAUCCCAAUUUGAGCUGUUAUUCAUACAGCUCCGAGUGCAAAUUCAGGAUAUGCAAUUCUUAAGAGACUGUAUCAAGGUUUCUAAUUCAUUUCAAUAAGUCUUUGAAAAGAAACAGCGAGUGUUUCACUUUUUUCCCAGGAACUAAAUGAUGGCCUUUGUGCUGUUAUAAAUCAUGAUGGAUUUCCAUAUUCUUACACAUAAUCUUUUUUCCCCCUCUCUUAGAAAGGAAAAUUAAGAUUGCUGCACCAUGGGAUCACUUUCAUUAUCUUUAGCAUACAAAUGAUCUUUUAAGAAGAUUUCUUCCGUCUACAUAUGUACAGUAUCAAUGAUGUAAUUUACAUUGCAUCCUUCAUAUUAACGCUCUGAUCCAUCAUCGCUAACAAUGCGGGGUCUUUGUGUGAGGGGCUGUCGGACAAAUGUUUUAGCUUGUGAGAAGAAAAUUGUUAGCAUUUGAAUAGAGAAUGGUACAGGAAGGAUUAAUAGCCUGCUUUGAUGGAUUAGAAUGUAGGGAAAUUGCUCAAUAUUAAUAUGAAAAUGUUUGUGAAUCGGUUGCAAGGUGCUGUCAAUGGAAAAUGAUUAUGUCUCUGCAGCUUUAUCAGUUGAGACUUGACUCUUAGCAAAGACUUGCACACAAAAGGCAGAUGAGGGGCAUAAAAGAUGGCCGGCUGAGGAGCUGGGGCAAACACUCAUGGUUCAACUGGCGGCCCUCUGAUCACUGUGCCUGGUCUUCCUGUAACUUGAUACAUCUUUGCGUUAAUGUAUCUGAAUGUGACUUUAUCCUAAAAGAGACAAGAAAGUGUGGGUAAUGCGUUGUUACUGUAUCUCUGGGCUGUUUCUUCUUUCAGGCCUCAUCAGAAACAACAGGGCAUGGUGUAUAAAAAUUGAGCUCAGAAUUGGUUUCCUUGGUGUUCAGUGGCUUCUAGGGUGAUAAUUCCACAAGAAUAGUUGAUAUCAAAAUAUUGUAACAAGAAGGGAUCAGGGAAGUGGCUCAGAGUGUAGAAGCACUCGCUGCACCGGAUUGAUGGUUUGAGUUCCAGAUUCCAAACCCAAGUAAAUAACCAGAAGUAGAGGUAUGUAUCUGUAUUAUAGCACUUGUUCUAUGAGAUGAGAGAGAGGUAGAGACAGGAGAACCAGCCACAUGAUCAAGGGAUAAAUAUUAAAACAACACCAGAAAGACCUUUUGGCUAUUAAAUCCCAACAAUUGCAAUUUCUCACUGUGGUGUUUUAAACGUAUUAAUUGGCCUUUUAAAAUGUGUUUCCUAUGUUGACUGUGAUGAUACAACCUGGUAAUAGCAGCACCCAAGCAGGCGGGAGGCUCCUGAAUGUGAGGCCAGCCUCGGCAACAUAAGAAGAUCCAGUCUAAAAGAUAAAUAAAAUAAAAUUCUUUAAAGUUCAAAUUAUGAAAAAAAUUUAUAUGUGCGUAUACACAAAUGAAAAAGAGAGAAAGAAAGAGAGGAAGAAAGGAAGAGAGAAAGAAAGGAAGGAAAGAAGGAAGGAAGGAAGGAAGGAAGGAAGGAAGGAAGGAAGGAAGAAGGAAGAAGGAAAGAGGCUUUCCAGGUUUUGCUGUCUGAAUGAGAAAAUGCAGAUACGUUUGUUCAUCCUGAUUUAAACAUUUUUCUAUUGAAAUGUGUUACCUCAUAAAUAAAAUGUAUUUACAACUUUUUUUGAGACAGGGUCUUUCUA
rnacentral:lncRNA from 1 species